UGUGCAAGGGUGGGCCUGGACCAGUUGGAC
rnacentral:piRNA from 1 species